rnacentral:rRNA from 1 species
AGUGAACGCUGGCGGUAGGCCUAACACAUGCAAGUCGAACGGCAGCACAGUAAGAGCUUGCUCUUACGGGUGGCGAGUGGCGGACGGGUGAGGAAUACAUCGGAAUCUACUUUUUCGUGGGGGAUAACGUAGGGAAACUUACGCUAAUACCGCAUACGACCUACGGGUGAAAGCAGGGGAUCUUCGGACCUUGCGCGAUUGAAUGAGCCGAUGUCGGAUUAGCUAGUUGGCGGGGUAAAGGCCCACCAAGGCGACGAUCCGUAGCUGGUCUGAGAGGAUGAACAACAACACGGAAACUGAAACAGGGGCAAGACUCCAAGGGGGGGAAGAGGAGGGGAAAAAUGAGAAAGGGGCGAAAGCCAAAACCAGCCAUACCGCGUGGGUGAAGAAGGCCGUGGGGUUGAAAAGCCCUUUUGUUGGGAAAAAAAAGAAGCAGGUUAAUACCCGGUGGUUUAGACGGUACCCAAAAAAUAAACACCGGCAAACUUCG